AUAUCAAUAAGCGGAGGAAAAGAAACUAACAAGGAUUCCCCUAGUAACUGCGAGUGAAGCGGGAAGAGCUCAGACUGAAAAUCUUCGGAAUUGUAGUCUGUCGAAGUCAAAUCAUCUAAGAACAAGGGAACAAAGUCUCCUGGAAUGGAGUGCCGUGGAGGGUGACAGCCCCGUCUAUGUUUCCUUUUUCUGGGUCGAUUGGCUUUCUAAGAGUCGAGUUGUUUGGGAUUGCAGCUCUAAUCGGGUGGUAAAUUCCAUCUAAAGCUAAAUAUUGGUGGGAGACCGAUAGCGCACAAGUA
rnacentral:rRNA from 1 species